UUGGGGGUCCAAGCCCAGAGUCUUGCACGCGCAGGGUUUUGAGAAGUGUGCUGUCAGACAAACUUGCAUCAACAUUCUCAUGGCACGGACGAAAGGGGAAGAAUGCCUUUGACUGUCUGCUUCUCUCCAAGUGCAUUGUUGAUGCUGUAAAGGUCACCCAUAGAUGUGACAAUUUUGUGGUGGAAAGUGCAACCAAAGACUGGCUUCGUCAUGCCCCGGCAAGAUGUGCAUCGGAAAAGUCAGCCAGCCAUCCUUCCAGCCUGCCAGCUAGUGAUCCAACCAGUGACUAGACGUGAUUCAGCCAUUGACUAGACAUGUGAUUCAGCCAGUGACUAGACAUGUGAUUCAGCCAGUGACUAGACAUGUGAUUCAGCCAGUGACUAGACCCGUGUCCCAGCCAGCGACUAGACCCGUGUCCCAGCCAGCGACUAGACCCGUGACCCAGCCAGCGAACUAGACCAGUGAUCCAGCCAGCGACUACUAGACCAGUGAUCCAUCCAGCCAGCCCCUGCCACGGCAUGAACAUAAGUUGGGCGUGAGCUUCUUCGGCAGGUUGCUUUGGGAGAGGGUUUGUUUUUACUUUACUGAAGGCUUUACUUCUUUUAACUUGCUUCGCAUUAGCUGGCACAUUUUGCAUGCACUGCUGAAG